CUUGCAGAGUAGACAUGAAAUUUGUAGGGAGAUUAAUUUAAAAGGGUAAGGGAGGUGACAGAAGAGAGUGAGCACACAUGGUACUUUCUUGCAUGCUCAUGUUUCGUGCUUGAAGCUAUGCGUGCUCACGCUCUAUCUGUCACCCCAUCUCUCUUUCUCUCUCUCUUCUAUUUCCCUUAGCUUUCACUUUCUGCUACUAUAAUUAUUAUAGUACUUAAUUAUUUGUGGUUUUUUCUUUUAUCGCUUUUCCUUCUUUAUAUGCUAUCCAACCUCCCUACCCCUAACCCUAAUACCCUUUUUUCCCGUCCAUAUUAACCCUAGCUCCGGGAACUCGUUUUGUCCGGAAAUUAACUUCCCAAUCUGUUCCAUUAGAUUCGAGUUUAAGGAAUUCUUUUGUUUUUACCAAACGAACUCUCGAUCAAUACUGCUUAUACCAAUAUGUACGGGGGCAAGGUGAAGAAGCGUGCCUAACAUGUCAAACGAGAAAGGCCAGAUGGACAUGAAAGAUCUCCAGAAGUUGUAUGCUGAGUUAUUUCUUGGAAAAGGACAAGAGAUGUAUAAUCCAUGGUUUUUAUUGUGGAUGAGAAAAAUGAGAAGAGUUCAUGUGGCUUAUGUUCAUAACAUAUAGAUUAGCUGGACUGUAUCUUCUCGAACAAAGACAGCUUUAUAGAUGUGUCCUGACGUGUGUAAAUCUUCACUGUGUUAUGUUCCAUCUCAUUAUUUGAAUGCAUCUUUAAGAUCACAAUA